rnacentral:rRNA from 1 species
CUACGGGGUGCAGCAGUGGGGAAUAUUGCACAAUGGAGGAAACUCUGAUGCAGCAACGCCGCGUGGAGGAUGACACUUUUCGGAGCGUAAACUCCUUUUAUAUAGGAAGAUAAUGACGGUACUAUAUGAAUAAGCACCGGCUAACUCCGUGCCAGCAGCCGCGGUAAUACGGAGGGUGCAAGCGUUACUCGGAAUCACUGGGCGUAAAGAGCGUGUAGGCGGGUUAAUAAGUCAGAAGUGAAAUCCUAUGGCUCAACCAUAGAACUGCUUUUGAAACUGUUAACCUAGAGUGUGGGAGAGGGAGAUGGAAUUUCUGGUGUAGGGGUAAAAUCCGUAGAGAUCAGAAGGAAUACCGAUUGCGAAGGCGAUCUACUGGAACAUAACUGACGCUGAGACGCGAAAGCGUGGGGAGCAAACAGGAUUAGAUACCCUAGUAGUC